AGAAAAAUCCUGGGCAAAGGGAUUUUUAAGAGAUUGUGAAUGCCACAGUUGAUUUUCUUGCCCAGAGGCUUAAUGGGAUGGCAGGACUGAACUCUGGUCCUUCUGAGUGGGUCUCACCUUCCAACCUGCUCAGCUGAAGCAGUCCUUAGUCAGUCUGAACCCUGAAAAUCAUGUUUGGGAGACUGAUCUAAAUCAGAGCUGUGCCAGGGCUCUUUCCCUGUUCACCUGUCAGUGCAUGCUGCCAGACCAGUGCCUCCCAAAACCUCCAAACCUUCCUGGAGGGGAAAAGGCUGCUGGAAACAGCAAUGUUGGUAGAACAGGCAGCUGGAGAUGGGAGACAAUCAGAAAUUGGGAAAGGAGGAAUUUCUGAAAGCAAGUCACCUGGAGAGGACUCCUCAUCUCCAUCCUGGGCUUUUGAGGACAUUUUGCUGGGCCAAAGCCUGUUCUGCAUUUUCUGAGGAUGUAAAAGUGAUAUUCCUUGUGCUGGAGACAGCUCACUUUGCUGUGUGACAGCAACAUCACCCCAGGACCCAAGGCCAGAGUGGGACAAAUGCACCUGACUCAGCAGUAAAUCCACUUUCCUCCUCUCCCUGUGUGCAGCAUGAAUGCUGCUGAGCCACAAAGGGUGCUCUGGGCAGCUCUCCCAACAGCAGCUGUCCCUCUGUGCCCAGCAAAAAGGCAUCUAAGAAAUCUUGGUCUGUCUCCUGCCACGCUCAGCAGGAAGGCUCAAACUGCACUGCAGGCUAAAAGUGAUCUUGCAGCAGAGCCAAGAGGUUCAACACCCAGCCGUCCUUGUCAUGGCACAUUAAAAGCUGGUGAUCACUCAGCUGUGAGCAAGCAGAGGCUUUUAUGCAGAGCAAAUGUAGUUUCUGCCACAGAGAGGCAGUGGGCAAGUUCCAGGAGUGAGCUUUCUGCUGACACUUGGAAUCUUUAUAAGGAUUUCAUGCUCAGAACUCUGAGAGGGGAAAACAAGGAUUCCCCUUUUGCUCUCAAGGUGCUUUCUGAAGAGCAGAGGCAGUGGAUGUCCUCCAGCCUUGGGGAGAAUCAGUCUGUCCUGCUGCCCAUGGCUGUGUUUGAAGCUCAGAGGCCAUGGGAUGCCUCAUGGGAGCAUGAGCCAUGCCAAGGAACUCUCCAGAAACACCAGAGCUCCUCACCCCUUUCCCCAUCUCAGGCAUGGAGGUCUGCAGCUGAUGAGUCUCUGGUUUUAAGAUGACACCAAGGUGUUGGAAAGUCUCUUUUUCCCAGCCCUGAGACCAAAGAAGAAGACAGAAUUCUUUGGCUCGCGUUCUCAAGGUUGUUUAUUUUCUGUUAUCUAUAACAUUCUUUCUCUGACCUGCUGAGAUCUGUCCAGCAGGUCGGGUUGUGGCAC